AUUAAACGCUGGCGGCAUGCCUUACACAUGCAAGUCGAACGGCAGCACGGGGGCAACCCUGGUGGCGAGUGGCGAACGGGUGAGUAAAGCAUCGGAACGUGCCCUGGAGUGGGGGAUAACGUAGCGAAAGUUACGCUAAUACCGCAUAUUCUGUGAGCAGGAAAGCAGGGGAUCGCAAGACCUUGCGCUCUGGGAGCGGCCGAUGUCGGAUUAGCUAGUUGGUGGGUAAAGGCCUACCAAGGCGACGAUCCGUAGCGGGUCUGAGAGGAUGAUCCGCCACACUGGGACUGAGACACGGCCCAGACUCCUACGGGAGGCAGCAGUGGGAAUUUUGGACAAUGGGCGAAAGCCUGAUCCAGCCAUGCCGCGUGAGUGAAGAAGGCCUCGGUUGGUUAAAGACGUCUUUCCGGUUGGGGUAAGGAAAGUUAGUACGAUAGG
rnacentral:rRNA from 1 species